CAGCCCACUGUCUUCUCACCAAGGAGCCAUCCUGGGCUGUCUUAAGCAGCUUGUAAAACCAUAGUAUUGCGCACACACCCCCUCGUGGCCAAGUGUGGAAAUGCAUGCCCCAAAAAGAGCGGGUUGAAAGAUUAAUACCCACCUGGGUUGGAGCUGGUUGCCACCGAAAAGGAAUCUCAAUAGGAUCUUAACUCCUUACAAGGAAAGGAGAGUGCAGUGCGAUCUUAGGUGAAAGAGAGUGAAAAGGGGAUAGAGUAAAGAAAAAGGAAGGGGAAAAAAUGGGUGGGGGGAGAAAAAGAAGGCAGAGUAGAAUGCAAAAAAAGGAAGAGAAAAAGAAUAGGAGAGAGCAAGAAAAUGAGAAGCUUGAAGGAGAAAUGCUUCUGUAAGCCAAGCCUUUCUCUAGUUCAAAGAUAAACACUCAAGAAAAUAGCAAGACUUGGCACGGCCAGUGUCGGCUGCUGCCCUGAAGCACAGCCAGGUGGGUACUGACGAACCAGGCAUAAGAGAGGACAGGGAUCCCACGGUUGACUCCAUCACUGCCUGACUUGGAUAAAAGGUGAUGUGAGAUGCCGGACUGCCAAAGCACUUGCUAUAUUUCAACGCAUCAAGUUAUCAUGACCUCCGGUGCUUUGUAAGAUGAUUUGAAGGGCACUGUUGAAAAUGUAAAACAUUAUUGCCACAGCAGUAAAAAUAUCCAUGUCCA